GACGAACGCUGGCGGCGGGCCUAACACAUGCAAGUAGGACGCAGUUGCGAACGGGUGAGUAACGCGUAGGUAACUACCUAGUAGAGGGGGAUAAAUAUUGGAAACGAUAGCUAAUACCGCAUACUAGUAGAUGGACCUGCGUUGUAUUAGCUAGUAGGUAGAGUAAUGGCCUACCUAGGCAACGAUACAUAGCCGACCUGGGAGGGUGAUCGGCCACACUGGGACCGUGACACGGCCCAGACUCCUGCGGAGGGCAGCAGUAGGGAAUCUUCGGUAAUGGGGGGAACCCUGACCGAGCAACGCCGCGUUAGUGAAGAAGGUUUUCGGAUCGUGAAGCUCUGUUGUUAGGGAAGCGGUACUUAACCAAAAAGGAACGGCUAACUACGUGCCAGCAGCCGCGGUAAUUC
rnacentral:rRNA from 1 species